rnacentral:rRNA from 1 species
AUAAUUUUCCGCAAUGGGCGAAAGCCUGACGGAGCAAUACCGCGUGAGGGAGGAAGGCCUUUGGGUUGUAAACCUCUUUUCUCAGGGAAGAAGAUCUGACGGUACCUGAGGAAUAAGCAUCGGCUAACUCCGUGCCAGCAGCCGCGGUAAUACGGAGGAUGCAAGCGUUAUCCGGAAUCAUUGGGCGUAAAGCGUCCGCAGGUGGUUUUUCAAGUCUGCUGUUAAAGACUGGAGCUCAACUCCGGAAAGGCAGUGGAAACUGAGAAACUAGAGUUCGGUAGGGGUAGCGGGAAUUCCCAGUGUAGCGGUGAAAUGCGUAGAUAUUGGGAAGAACAUCGGUGGCGAAGGCGCGCUACUGGACCGAAACUGACACUCAGGGACGAAAGCUAGGGGAGCGAAAGGGAUUAGAUACCCCUGUAGUCCUAGCUGUAAACGAUGGAAACUAGGUGUGGCUUGUAUCGACCCGAGCCGUGCCGUAGCUAACGCGUUAAGUUUCCCGCCUGGGGAGUACGCACGCAAGUGUGAAACUCAAAGGAAUUGACGGGGGCCCGCACAAGCGGUGGAGUAUGUGGUUUAAUUCGAUGCAACGCGAAGAACCUUACCAGGGCUUGACAUGUCGCGAAUCUCCUUGAAAGGGGAGAGUGCCUUCGGGAGCGCGAACACAGGUGGUGCAUGGCUGUCGUCAGCUCGUGUCGUGAGAUGUUGGGUUAAGUCCCGCAACGAGCGCAACCCUCGUCUUUAGUUGCCAGCAUUAAGGUGGGCACUUUAGAGAGACUGCCGGUGACAAACCGGAGGAAGGUGGGGAUGACGUCAAGUCAGCAUGCCCCUUACGCCCUGGGCUACACACGUACUACAAUGGUUGGGACAAAGGGCAGCGACCCCGCGAGGGAAAGCGAAUCUCAUCAAACCCAGCCUCAGUUCAGAUUGCAGGCUGCAACUCGCCUGCAUGAAGGAGGAAUCGCUAGUAAUCGCAGGUCAGCAUACUGCGGUGAAUUCGUUCCCGGGCCUUGUACACACCGCCCGUCACACCAUGGAAGCUGGUCACGCCCGAAGUAGUUACCCUAACCUUUCGGGGGGGGGGACUCCUAAGGCAGGGCUAGUGACUGGGGUGAAGUCGUAACAAGGUAGCCGUACCGGAAGGUGUGGCUG